rnacentral:lncRNA from 1 species
GAAAAAGACAGCUAGCUGAAUAUAUUUAGAUUUAACUUGAAAGCAUAAAGGAUAGCCAGUCUGCUUCUUACGCCUUUGUCCGAUCAGGGGCAUCAACUGGACCUCAGCAUUUACACAAAAUAGGGGAGCUCUGUCUAAACGAGUCUUUUUGGCUGAUCAAUGAAGAUACAAAAAUGGAUUAUCAUUGUUGGCGUUCAAAUAAUGUUAUCUUAUUUACGAUUAACUAGAGCCUUACACACAAUCUUUACGUUUCCAUAAAAUACACAUCACUUUGUUUUGGUAUCGGCGGAUAGACACUGCUUAUCCACAUUUCAACCACACGUGUGUAGAAACAUCUCAUUGCCUGAACUGAGGCAAUGAAUGCAGCCUACUAACGAUGUAGAAAGGACGAUUUUGCAUGAACCGAGAACUUCUUCAGAUUUCUAACUAGCAAAUUAUGUCGUCUAUAAUAUGGAGAUAGUUGUCUACAUUUUCAUCAGGAUCUCGCUGAAAAUUUGUUUUUUGCCAAGGCAACGAACUAGAUUUCGCCACCCCCUCGUUGUUCCAGUCACUCCUCACAGUCCUGUCUUGGAAGGCUGGUUAGGAGGUGCUUUUUCGUGUUAGAUUCACAACUAGCAAUGAUGCUUCAAUAUUUUCUAAAUGUGAGGUAAACUGUUGGCAUAGUUUGCUAACGUUAUAUAUCAAGAAGCGGAGGGCCACUUUAACGAAUGCAUCAAUCAAACAUUAAUUUAAACCAGUGACAUUGGAAUUUGAAGACGGAGCCCAUCCGACCCUUUUCCCCCGAACCUGGAUAUCGGAAUGGUGUGUCGUGACCCCAGUGGGUUGGGAAAUGCACCAUGUUUAUACGCGCUAUGAGCAGGACAGUCAUGUCUGGCUUGGAGCACCGAUAAUCUGGACACUUCCGGGGAGCCCACUACCCGCUCUGUGGGCACCACUGCCAACUUGAAGGGGAAGAUGAGCAAGAGGCUGUCUGUUGUGAAAGGUCACUUCCCUAAGCUCGUUGACUGUGCCCACUUCCACUAUGACAAUGUGGAGUUUGGCUCCAUCGAGGUAGGUUUCGACGCAAUCAAUCAAUCAAAUGUAUUUAUAAAGCCCUUCUUACAUCAGCUGAUGUCACAAAGUGCUGUACAGAAACCCAGCCUAAAACCCCAAACGGCAAGUAAUACAGGUGAAGAAG